rnacentral:lncRNA from 1 species
GAAAGUCCUUAGAAUUCUGAAAUUCUAACGAAUAUCUGCGGACCUGAAGGAAAACUGAGUUCACUCUAUCCGUGGGGCAAGAUCAUGAUUGAGAAAUGAGGAUCAAUAAAUGACUAAAAAAUCCUGUCUUUCAGUCGACCAUCUGUGCAGGGAGAGAACCACAGUGGGGUGCAGCAAUGUGUGCAGAAAGUCAGAGAGAGAAGGAGCGGUGAGAACACUGAACUCGAGAACAGCGCUGGCCUUUAGACAACAGCAUUCCGUGUCGACAGCACCCACGGGGUCAGUGUGAACCGUGUGUCUAUGCUGGAGUGGUAUCAAGAGUCUCCUGAUCUGAAUGGCUGUUAUUAAAAAGACAAGAAAUAACAAGUGUUGGAGAGGAUGUGGAGAAAAGGGAACCCUCAUACACUGCUGGUGGGAAUGUAAAUUGGUGCAGCCACUAUGGAAAACAGUAUGGAGAUUCCUCAAAAAAUUAAAAAUAGAAAUAUCAUAUAUUCCACACUCCUGGAUAUUUAUCUGAAGAACAUGAAAACACUAAUUUGAGAAGAUAUAUGCACCUCUAUGCUCAUCGCAGCAUUAUUCACAAUAGCCAAGACUUGGAAGCAACCUAAGUGGCCCAUCAAUGGAUGAAUGGCUAAACAAGAUGUGGUAUAUACAGUCACGCAUUGCUUAACCACAGGGAUACAUUCUGAGAAAUAAGUUAUUAGGCGAUUUCAUUGUGCAAACAUCACAGAAUGUGCUUACGCAAACCUAGAUGGUGUAGCCUACUACACACCUAGGCUGUAUGGUAAUCCCAUGGGACCACCGUCGUAUAUGCGGUCCAUUGUUGACUGAAACGUUGUAAUGCAGCUCAUGAUUGUAUAUACAAUGGAAUACUACUAGCCAUAAAGAGGUGAAAUUUUCCCACUUGCAACACCGUGGGUGGACCCUGAGGGUAUGAUGCUAAGCAAAAUAAGUCAGACAGAGAAAGACAAUUACACUAUGAUUUGACUCAUAUGUGGAAGAUAAACAAACAAACACAUAGAUAUGGGGAACAGAUUGGUGAUUACCAGAGGGAAAGGAGGUUGAGGGAGCGCCAAAGGGGUAAAGGGGCACAUGUGUGUGGUGAAGGAUGGCAACUAGACUUUUGGUGGGGAACGCGAUGCAGGCUGUACAAAAGUCAAAAUACAAUGAUGCACACCUGAAAUUUAUCUUAUAAACCAGUGUUGCCUCAACUAAAGAAAAACAAAAGAUUCUCCUGAUCUGAUGAAAGCGCUGUGGGUGUGUUCCCUCUGUAUCUGUUCUCUGGAAAAGUGUGUUCAAGAUUGGCACUAUUUCUAUCUUAAAUAUUCGGAAGAAUUCAAAGGAAGACACCAGGGCCAGAAGUUUGCUUUGUGAGAAAAAUCUUCUUGGUAUUUCUCGUUUUUUAUUUGAUGGCUGCUUUACAUAUUACACAGCGCACAGACAUUAAGUAUACAGCUUUAUGGCUUCUUAUAAACAUGUGUAUUGCCAACAUCCAAAUCAAUAUAUAGAAUUUCAGAAACACCUAGCAGCAUUGUUUUUUCUGCUUCCCAAUCAGCAACUCUCAACAGGUACCCACCCACCAUUCUAACCAAG